CGGAGGAAAAGAAACCAACAGGGAUUGCCUCAGUAACGGCGAGUGAAGCGGCAAAAGCUCAAAUUUUAAAGCUGGCACCUCCGGUGUCCGCGUUGUAAUUUUGUGAGGCAUCUCCGGGUGGGGCGCCGGCCUAAGUUCCUUGGAACAGGACGUCAUAGAGGGUGAGAAUCCCGUGCUUGGCUGGCUGUCCCCGUCCAUGUGAGGUGUCUUCGACGAGUCGAGUUGUUUGGGAAUGCAGCUCAAAAUGGGUGGUAAAUUUCAUCUAAAGCUAAAUAUUGGUGGGAGACCGAUAGCGCACAAGUAGAGUGAUCGAAAGAUGAAAAGCACUUUGAAAAUAGAGUUAAAAAGUACGUGAAAUUGUUGAAAGGGAAGCGCUUGAGACCAGACUUCGGUGGGGAGUGAUCAGCCGUCCUUCUGGGCGGUGCACUUGCCCCCCUCCGGGCCAGCAUCGGUUGGGACGGCGGGAUAAAGGUCCCGGGAAUGUGGCUCCUCUCGGGGAGUGUUAUAGCCCGGGUGAAUGCCGCCAGCCCCGACCGAGGACCGCGCCUUCGGGCUAGGAUGCUUGGCAUAAUGGUCUUCAGCGACC
rnacentral:rRNA from 1 species